GCAAUACGAUACCCGGGUAGUCCACGCCGUAAACGAUCAAUACUAGGUGUGCGGGGACUGACCCCCUGCGUGCCGGAGUUAACACAAUAAGUAUUGCACCUGGGGAGUACGAUCGCAAGGUUGAAACUCAAAGGAAUUGACGGGGGCCCGCACAAGCGGUGGAUUAUGUGGUUUAAUUCGAAGCAACGCGAAGAACCUUACCAGGGCUUGACAUCCUACUAACGAAGUAGAGAUACAUCAGGUGCCCUUCGGGGAAAGUAGAGACAGGUGGUGCAUGGUUGUCGUCAGCUCGUGUCGUGAGAUGUUGGGUUAAGUCCCGCAACGAGCGCAACCCUUAUUGUUAGUUGCUACGCAAGAGCACUCUAGCGAGACUGCCGUUGACAAACGGAGGAAGGUGGGGACGACGUCAAAUCAUCAUGCCCCUUAUGUCCUGGGCCACACACGUAAUACAAUGGCGCCUAACAGAGGGAUGCAAAGCCGUGAGGUGGAGCGAACCCCUAAAAAGCGUCUCAGUUCGGAUUGCAGGCUGAAACCCGCUGC
rnacentral:rRNA from 1 species